rnacentral:rRNA from 1 species
UCAGGAUGAACGCUAGCGACAGGCUUAACACAUGCAAGUCGAGGGCAGUCACGGGAGUAGCAAUACGAACUGGUGGCGACCGGCGCACGGGUGAGUAACGCGUAUGCAACCUACCUAUCAGAGGGGAAUAACCGGCGAAAGUCGGACUAAUACCGCAGUAAAACAGGGGCACCGCAUGGUGAUAUUUGUUAAAGAAAUUCGCUGAUAGAUGGGCAUGCGUUCCAUUAGGUAGUUGGUGAGGUAACGGCUCACCAAGCCGACGAUGGAUAGGGGAACUGAGAGGUUGGUCCCCCACACUGGUACUGAGACACGGACCAGACUCCUACGGGAGGCAGCAGUGAGGAAUAUUGGUCAAUGGGCGGGAGCCUGAACCAGCCAAGUCGCCGUGAAGGAAGAAGGAUCUAUGGUUCGUAAACUUCUUUUGCAGGGGAAUAAAGUGCAGGACGUGUCCUGUUUUGUAUGUACCCUGAGAAUAAGGAUCGGCUAACUCCGUGCCAGCCGCAGC